UGGGGAAUAUUGCACAAUGGGCGCAAGCCUGAUGCAGCCAUGCCGCGUGUAUGAAGAAGGCCUUCGGGUUGUAAAGCACUUUCAGCGAGGAGGAAGGUGUGAGCUUAAUACGCUCAUCAAUUGACGUUACUCGCAGAAGAAGCACCGGCUAACUCCGUGCCAGCAGCCGCGGUAAUACGGAGGGUGCAAGCGUUAAUCGGAAUUACUGGGCGUAAAGCGCACGCAGGCGGUUUGUUAAGUCAGAUGUGAAAUCCCCGGGCUCAACCUGGGAACUGCAUUUGAAACUGGCAAGCUAGAGUCUCGUAGAGGGGGGUAGAAUUCCAGGUGUAGCGGUGAAAUGCGUAGAGAUCUGGAGGAAUACCGGUGGCGAAGGNGGCCCCCUGGACGAAGACUGACGCUCAGGUGCGAAAGCGUGGGGCAGCAAACAGGAUUAGAUACCCUGGUAGUCCACGCUGUAAACGAUGUCGAUUUUGGAGGUUGUGCCCCUUGAGGCGUGGCUUCCGGAGCUAACGCGUUAAAUCGACCGCCU
rnacentral:rRNA from 1 species